AAAACACCCAUCAUGGGACUGCGGGGUGUUGAAGCGCGGUGCUGGCGGGUGUUAUCGGUGCGGAUGAUGAAUGGCUGCACUCUGUCAGGCUGACAUAUGCACGGUGUGGCAGAUGGGACCCGGAGUCUGACUUUGAGCAAAAAUGCUACAUGCUGCGUGAAUCUGUUGCAACAUCAUAAGAGCAUUGACUUUGACUUCACAUCAGAGCAGUGAACACCAGUGUCCAGACGUUCCUUUGAGCCCCGGAUUAAUUUCCAUCAUACUCAGCCGCAUGGAGAAGGUGCCCCAGCUGAGGAACAGAUGACUCGCGCUCUUAACAGGUGCUCAGACACUCAGCAGGCCUCAUGCUUCGGGGGAUCAAAGCGCGGCUGCAGAAACUGCAAGCCCCUGUAAUUGCGUACAAUGAGCUGGCGAGUCGGCCGGUCCAGGUGCUAUUUGAACAGGUGUAUUUGCAUGUCACAAUACAGAUGGCAUAGGCCUUCAUGGCCUUGAUCACGAUUCGAGCACAAUUUACCCACACCGAGCCGCCACUGUUCUCCAGACCUGCGCUGUUUACCAACGUAAACAGAAUGAACGAUGCCAGACACUCUUUUGCUAGCCCAUACCCUGUUUUUCCUCCUGGACAGCACAUGUCUAAAUGUUCCCUUGCUGGAAAAAUACUUUAAACCAGUGUAAGGUAGAAAGCUGGUCUGUUUUGCUAGUUUUAGAAGGGUAUUGAGUAGUUGACACAGCUGCUCAGGCUGGG
ensembl:lncRNA